UUAGCUAAAGCAUAUUAUGGGUUAUGUGGGGGAGAAAGUGUCCGGAUAGUCCCAGUCGGACGUUGGGGAUGCUUGGGUGUCGUACUGGAGUCUACACUUUCUGCUGUUGUAUCUGCCUGGCGGUAUAGCGUACACCACACUGAAACACUGAACUAAUUCUGUAAAUUUGAAAGUGAAAUGGCGGACGCAAAGGCGGCGAAGAGGAAGAGGGACUUGAACAAGCUGGGGUUAACGAUCGCUACCCCGGCAGACGAGCAGAACGCUGGAAAAUCGGAUACAAGUACAACCAAGCAGGAAGUAAAAGAGCAGGCAAGUGAGGUUGUCCCAA